rnacentral:lncRNA from 1 species
GAAAGGUUUAAAUAAUAAAAAUAUAUAUAUUUUUUUUUUUUUGGUUUUUGUACUGUUGUGCAAAUGUGUUAUCGAACGUGAGAAAAUUUUUCCAUAAAAAAUUUUUUGGUGUGCUGAAAAGUUGUUUUUCUGGGAGCAUGCGCUACUGAGGAUGAGUCAUUUUAAACAAUUUAAAUUAUAUUGUUGUUAUACUAAAAUUGCUAACAUUAUAGCAAUUAUUAUAUUAUGGAUAAAAACUGGUAAAAUCCUGGCCAGAAAGGGACAACAGACUAUUCACUUGUUUCAGAUAAGAUACGGCCAUAUAAAUAAACAUACAUAAAUAGACAAUUACUUUGGCCCUUGCUGAUAAAUUACUCACUGGACAGAACGGCACCUUGGCGUCUGCUGGUGCAGCAAUAUCCGCAGCAACUCAUGAUGAGGAAGGGAAUGCACUGCCUAUUUAUCGGAUUUAUCCGCUUUUUGGCAGCACCCGUAUAAUUCACUUAAAUAUCAGUGAACUACUCUACCGGAAGGUCGUUAUUGAAGCCCGAUUGGAAUUAACUAUAUCUUAUCAGCGUUAAUCUGAAAGUAAUACAAUUUAUCAUGAUGAUAAUGGGUGCACGUUAUGCAGCACUGACUGCGCUGGCUAUGUUUAGUGAGCAGUCGAUGUAAAGCGGCGAUAGCUAGCGCACUCAACACAGCAAUCGAUAAUUCAAACAUAACAUCUGAUUUAAUUGUGUUUAAAACUUUAUUGCAAGGUAUAUAAUGGCUCAUAAUUUUAUUUAUUUGCGUUCCAAAUAUUUACUAAAUUGAGUUUGUUAUACUAAGCUUGUAUAUUUUGUAUAGAUAUUUUUUAAAACAUUACAAUUUAUCAUAAUGAUGACGUUAUGCAGCACUGACUGCUGAGUUUAGUGAGUAGUCGAUGCAAGCCAACGAUAGCUAUCGAACUCAACAAAGCAAUCGAUACUAUUGGAAUAGAAAAUAUAAGAAUUAAUUAAUUCAAA